rnacentral:rRNA from 1 species
UACGGAGGCGGCAAGCGUUAUCCGGAAUUAUUGGGCGUAAAGCGUCCGUAGGUGGUCAUGUAAGUCGGUCGUCAAAGCCAGAGGCUCAACCUCUGUCAGGCGGUGGAAACUGCAAGACUAGAGAGAGGUAGGGGUAGAGGGAAUUCCCAGUGCAGCGGUGAAAUGCGUAGAGAUUGGGAAGAACAUCGGUGGCGAAAGCGCUCUACUGGACCUUUUCUGACACUGAUGGACGAAAGCCAGGGGAGCGAACGGG